rnacentral:lncRNA from 1 species
GCACCUGAAUUAUAUGAACUUUUCUUUCUCAUGAAUUAAAAGUAUAAUUUCUUCUUCUGACUUAGAUUACACAUCCACAUGUCCCUUAAAUCUGUGCAGUUUUAGUCUUCUAAUUAAAGAUAAUGCCACAUAGGUCAUUAUUUUCAUAAUCAUUGUUCCUGAUAUUCUUACAUAUUACCAAUUCCCAUCUUUCCAAAGGAGACAAGAUUGAUGUCAGUAACCUGGACAAUGUGCUAAGGGAAAUGGGGCUGGUACUCACUGCUGAAGAACACAAGGAACUGCUGAAGUCUAUGUCCCUUUACCGUGAGUAUUCAGUGAUGUUUUGUUAAUCUUCCCACCAUUUUAACCUCUGUUCUGAAUUACGUCUUAUCUUACAGCUAGUGGGAAGGUACCCAAGAAUAGAUUGCUAAAAGGUGUGAAAGCCCUCAAAGGCCCACGGGUCAAAGUCAAGAAAGUUGAGUCUCUUUUGGAAAGCAUGGGAAUUCAAAUCACAAAUAAAGAACACAAGGAAUUAAUGACCCAACUAUCGACUGAUGGUGACAGAACAGUUGAUCUGAAUGAAUUGAUGGAUGCUGUCAAUUACAUCAAGGGUAAGUUAAGAGCUAUGAUGGAAAGAUAUUAUAAAUAGCAUCAUAAUACUUUGUGAUUAAUGUUAGAGAUCAAUGUUUCCCAUUCAUAAAUAUUAAAAUUAUUUAAUAUAACAUGCUUAGUGAGAUAAGCCAAAAAGACAAAUAUCACAUAUUUUUUCUGAUUUGUGGUAGGUAAUAUAUAGAGUACAAAAAAAAUUUAAUGUAUUAUGAGUGAAAUUGACACUUCGGGAUUUGAUAAUUAUUUGUAGCCUUGUCUAUAUUUCUGCUAAACAGUGGUCUUUCUGCUUUUACUUGUUGAACUCUUUAUUUAGUGGAGCAUUAAAUAUGUGAUUAUAAAGUAAAUUAAAAAUAUGUCACCGCAGGCCAGCACCGCAGCUCACUAGGCUAAUCCUCUACCUGCGGCACCGGCACCCCGGGUUCUAGUCCCGGUCGGGGCGCUGGAUUCUGUCCCGGUUGCUCCUCUUCCAGUCCAGCUCUCUGCUGUGG